UGUAUAAUGGGUCAGCGACUUAAUCUGACGAGCGAGCUUAAGCCGAUAGGUGUAGGCGUAGCGAAAGCGAGUCUGAAUAGGGCGACCGAGUAUGUAGCAUUAGACCCGAAGGCAAGUGAUCUAGGUAUGGGCAGGGUGAAGGUGCAGUAACAUGCACUGGAGGCCCGAACCGUUGAGCGUUGAAAAGCUCUCGGAUGACCUGUGCCUAGGGGUGAAAGGCCAAUCAAACCUGGAAAUAGCUGGUUCUCCGCGAAA
rnacentral:rRNA from 1 species